CAGUAGCCGCGGGAAUACGAAGGGGGCUAGCGUUGCUCGGAAUGACUGGGCGUAAAGGGCGCGUAGGCGGAUUGCGCAGUCAGAUGUGAAAUUCCUGGGCUUAACCUGGGGGCUGCAUUUGAGACGCGUAGUCUAGAGUGUGAAAGAGGGUCGUGGAAUUCCCAGUGUAGAGGUGAAAUUCGUAGAUAUUGGGAAGAACACCGGUGGCGAAGGCGGCGACCUGGUUCAUAACUGACGCUGAGGCGCGAAAGCGUGGGGAGCAAACAGGAUUAGAUACCCGCGUAGUCCCUGUCUCUUAUAC
rnacentral:rRNA from 1 species